AGUGAACGCUGGCGGUAGGCCUAACACAUGCAAGUCGAACGGCAGCACAGUAAGAGCUUGCUCUUACGGGUGGCGAGUAGCGGACGGGUGAGGAAUACAUCGGAAUCUACUUUUUCGUGGGGGAUAACGUAGGGAAACUUACGCUAAUACCGCAUACGACCUACGGGUGAAAGCAGGGGAUCUUCGUACCUUGCGCGAUUGAAUGAGCCGAUGUCGGAUUAUCUAGUUGGCGGGGUAAAGUCCCCCCAAGGCGACAACCCGUAGCUGGACUGAGAGGGUGAUCGGCGAAACUGGAACUGACACACGGUCCGGGCCCCAGAGGGGGGCAGCAAUGGGGAAUAUUGGGCAAUGGGGGCAAGCCUGAUCCAUCCAUACCGCGUGGGUGAAGAAGGCCUUCGGGUUGUAAAUCCCUUCUGUUGGGAAAGAAAAGCAGCAGGUAAACACCCCGCCGUUCUGACGGUACCCAACGAAUAAGCACCGGCUAACUUCGUG
rnacentral:rRNA from 1 species